GUUGGUCUGCUCAGAAAGACAGAUCUCUACACCUGUUGCUGAUGAGGAGUUGGACCGUAUUGUAAGCGAAGUCCACAGAAGUGUCCAAACACCGGCUACAAGCUAAUGCGUGGACAUUUGAAUGCUAGAGGUGUGCGUGUUCCAAGAGCUAAAUGUUGCUGAUGAUCCAUGGUGUUGCCAUUUAUUAUUAUUUAUUUAUUAACACCCUAACACUAUCAAAAUACUUCUAAAUAUUUGAAACUCUGGUAUUUUUUUCCAGUAUUUCUCAGUUAGAUUUUUAAGUGUUUUUUUAAAUAAAUAGCAAAUGAGUGUAUGAUUAUUUUCUGCUCUAAAGUCUCAAGACUGAGAGUCUUUGCACAGAGUGGAUGCUGAGGGAGUGUACAUGAGACGUCUACGGCUGCAUGUAACAAGACGACGGCAGUAUUCUGUUCCUGGCCCAAACUCUUUAUGGCACAUAGAUGGUCACCACAAGCUUAUAAGGUGGAGAUUUGUUGUCCAUGGUGGGGUGGACGGAUUCAGUCGACUGGUGGUCUACCUGAAUGUGGCUGGCAAUAACAGGGCUAGCACUGUCCUACAGAGCUUUAUCAAUGCCGUUCAGCAGUACGGGCUGCCGUCAAGGGUACGGUCUGAUAAAGGAAGAGAGAAUUCAGACGUAGCAGAAUUCAUGAUCAGGAGCAGAGGUACCAACAGGAACUCUCACAUCACAGGCAGAAGUGUACACAAUCAGCGAAUAGAGAGGAUGUGGAGAGAUGUUUAUGAGCAUGCCCUAGACCUCUUCUAUCAGAUCUUCACUUCAUUGGAAGAUCAGGGAACACUCAAUCCAGACAACCAAGUCCAUCUUUAUGCCCUGCACCGGAUCUUCCUUCCCCAAAUUCAGAGAACCCUCAGCUCCUUCAGAGAUGCUUGGAACUUUCAUGGACUUAGAACUGAAAGGAAUCAAUCACCUAAUGAACUCUGGAGAAGAUACAGAGAGCAAGCCCCAUGGAGGAUCCUGCAGAGGUUAAAAAAAAGAUAGUAGUUUUACACUAUUAUUGAAACCUUUUGAAAAUAUAUUCAUAUUUUGUUGGUCAGGAGAUACAGGUGUUUGUCACUGAUGUUUAGCAGAUUUAUUUUUCCUCAAAUUUCUUAGAAGAAACAUUUCAGACAGAUGAUAAUUGGACCCACUAUAUUUGAAUAAAAGGGUUUCUGUUAUCACUUUGUUCUUGUUUUUGAAUGAAACAUGAGAAUCUCUUCUGUCUCCUGAGCUCUGACAGAACAACAUCUGAGCAGCAAAGUGCCUAAAACUUAAUUUGUCACCAACAUAAGGACCAAUGAUCAAUCUCAUGAAUCUUGUGUGAUGACAUGUCAUAGUAGUUUAAACAAUAUGUCAAUCAAGGUUAUCCUCUGUUCAGGUUUAUGAAGACUAUGGGAUCGACUGGAAUGGGCCUCACAAUCAGCAUGGAGACACUGUGUCAGUUCCUGAGAUUCAGAUGGCCCGUGAGCUCUCAGAUGAAGAGGUUGCCAUUUUGCCAGUUUCAGGAGUUUCUUUAAAUGAUGCAAUUGGAUCAUAUUUGGAGACAGUGCAAGUUUUGUCAAGAAUCAUUGGAGACUGAUAUCUUAAGCAGGCCUUUUAUUUUAUUUAUUGUGCAAAUGUCACUCAUGAAUUAGUUAACUUGAUUUGUCAAUAAAAAUCUGAAAUAAUAA